rnacentral:lncRNA from 1 species
CUUUCCCUCACAUCCUAUUCCUUUUGUACUCAAUCAGUCAUACAAUCCUGUGGUUUCUAUAACCAAUAUGUCUCUCAAAUUCUGCUUUACUCCCUUACAAUUUUAUUAAUAUACAUAACCCUGAUUUUAUCACUCCAUUGCUAAAAAUCUUUUAAGGAUGCUAUUGAAGGACACACUCUUUACUAUCAUGUCUGCCUAUCUUUGUAUCUGCAUCACCCACAUCUAGCUCACAUGGAUCCUAUGUCUGUGUAGACAUACUGAACUACUUACUCUUCUCUAAAUGUGUCCUGCUGUUGCAUAUGACCUUUGUAUUUUUAUGCACAGUCCUCUUAAUCUACAAUAAUCUUUUUCUAACUGGUCUGCCUCAAUUACACAUGAUUAAACAAACCAGCUCAAAAUCUGCCCACUCUGUUACAUCAACACUGGCUCUCCCAACCUUAAUCAGGCAGUGUUCUGUCCUCUUUUUCACGGAGCCUGAAGCACACAUCAAUUAUCAAAUCAUCUCUCUCUCUCUCUGUCUCACUCUGCCCUUCUCUCUUUUCUUCCCUUCCUUCCCCUUUUUCCUAAGAAUAGCGGACACCUUGAGGGCAAGGGGCUUUUGUAUUUCUUAAUUUAACCAAUCAAAGCAUGAUUUUUCAAAAUUAUAGAUACUUGUAACUGCAUCCAAUCUAGGAUGUUAGUUUUUUAAAUUUGUGUAGAUAAAACAUGUCUGUUUUUUUUUCCUCCAGCGUACUUUCAAACCCUAUUAAAGCAAAGGCAGUCACCUGUUACUUCGACACCUGUUUCCUUUUUAGUACCUAACAGUAUCUCACUUGUCAGAUUGUUGAAAUGUAUAAAGAAAACAACAUAAAUCCUGUCUCAUGGUCCUGCAUACUGAUGAAACUACUGACUCAGCUGGUUUGAACAAUCCCCACAGAUGCCAGCUGAUCUGAAGGACCACACAGGAGCUGACUUACCAAAGAGUACAGUCUCUAUAUCCUGAUGAUUUCAUCCCCUAUUCCCCUCUCAAUCAAUCACCCCAAUUUCCCAGCCCCCUUCCAUCCACAAUCCCUUUAAAAAGUCCUGUGGGAGAUGGAUUUGAGGGACUUCUCCCACCUCCUCCCUUGGCACCCUGUGAUAACUAAACUCUUCCUCUGCUGCAAACCCUGCCAUCUCAUUGUAAUGGGGCUGUUACUGUGCAGUGGGCAUUCGAACUUGUUGGUCCUAUAACACUGACUCACCUAGAGCAACUUCAGGUCCUGCAAGCUCCAUUCAUGGUAAGUGUCUUAUACAAGUGUACCAUUUUUAUCCUUUAUACUUUACUUUUCUAUGUAAAGAAAAGUAACUUUUCUUUUUACUUUACCAUACUUUUACUUUUCUAUGUUUAUAUAUGUUUAGAUACACAAACACCAUUGUGUUACAAUUGCCAAUUUAUACAUGUUCGUAGAAAACUAUUUUCUUUAAAGAUUUUUACUUAUUUGUAUGCAAGUUAUUUGAAG